rnacentral:rRNA from 1 species
GACGAACGCUGGCGGCGUGCUUAACACAUGCAAGUCGAACGGUGAUGCUCCAGCUUGCUGGAGUGGAUCAGUGGCGAACGGGUGAGUAACACGUGAGCAACCUGCCCCAGACUCUGGAAUAAGCGCUGGAAACGGCGUCUAAUACUGGAUACGAAACUGGCCCGCAUGGGCAUGGUUUGGAAAGUUUUUCGGUUUGGGAUGGGCUCGCGGCCUAUCAGCUUGUUGGUGAGGUAAUGGCUCACCAAGGCGACGACGGGUAGCCGGCCUGAGAGGGCGACCGGCCACACUGGGACUGAGACACGGCCCAGACGCCUACGGGAGGCAGCAGUGGGGAAUAUUGCACAAUGGGCGAAAGCCUGAUGCAGCGACGCCGCGUGAGGGAUGACGGCCUUCGGGUUGUAAACCUCUUUCAGCAGGGAAGAAGCGAAAGUGACGGUACCUGCAGAAGAAGCACCGGCGAACUACGU